AACGUAGGAGGCAAGCGUUAUCCGGAUUCACUGGGCGUAAAGCGCGUGCAGGCGGUUCGGUAAGUUGGGCGUGAAAUCUCCUGGCUUAACUAGGAGAGGUCGUUCAAUACUACCGGACUUGAGAGUGGUAGAGGAAGAUGGAAUUCCCGGUGUAGUGGUGAAAUGCGUAGAUAUCGGGAGGAACACCAGUGGCGAAAGCGAUCUUCUGGACCAUUUCUGACGCUCAGACGCGAAAGCUAGGGUAGUAAACGGGAUUAGAGACCCCGGUAAUCCUAGCCGUAAACGAUGUAAACUUGGCGUCGGUGGCUUAAACACCAUCGGUGCCGCAGCUAACGCGAUAAGUUUACCGCCUGGGGACUACGAUCGCAAGAUUAAA
rnacentral:rRNA from 1 species